AGAUGCAAGAGAAUUUUCAGUUGUCAGUUUGGGUUGACUGAAAACUCAUUUUGCAUGCAGA
rnacentral:pre_miRNA from 1 species